GAAAGUAAAAAAGGGCGCAUGGCGGAUGCCUUGGCUCUCGGAGGCGAUGAAGGACGUGAUAAGCUGCGAUAAGCUUUGGGGAGGUGCAAAUGACCUUUGAUCCAGAGAUUUCCGAAUGGGACAACCCAAUAUCUUGAAGAGGUAUUAUCCAACGUUGUUGGAGGCUAACGCAGGGAACUGAAACAUCUUAGUACCUGCAGGAAAAGAAAAUAAACAAUGAUUCCCCCAGUAGUGGCGAGCGAACGGGGAACAGCCCAAACCAUCCAUGUUACGGCAUGGGUGGGGUUGUAGGACUACGCCGUUGCAUGAAGACAUCAGAGAAGAACUUUCUGGAAAGAAAGACCAUAGAGCAUGACAGUUGCGUAUUCGAAUGUUGUCGAAGCAUAGUAGUAUCCUGAGUAGCGCGGAGCACGAGGAAUUCUGCGUGAAUCUGCCGGGACCAUCCGGUAAGGCUAAAUACUCCCGAGAGACCGAUAGCGAACCAGUACCGUGAGGGAAAGGUGAAAAGCACUUCGAACAGAAGAGUGAAAUAGUUCCUGAAACCGUGCGCCUACAAGCGGUCGGAGCUCGUUAAUGAGUGACGGCGUGCCUUUUGCAUAAUGAACCUACGAGUUGCCUUUGCCGGCAAGGUUAAGUGUGACGACACACGUAUCCGAAGCGAAAGCGAGUCUGAACAGGGCGUAUAGUCGGCAGUGGCAGACGCGAAACCAAGUGAUCUACCCUUGGCCAGGUUGAAGGCUGGGUAACACCAGCUGGAGGACCGCACCAAUAAGCGUUGAAAAGCUUCUGGAUGAGCUGAGGGUAGGGGUGAAAGGCUAAUCAAACUUGGAGAUAGCUCGUACUCCCCGAAAUGCAUUUAGGUGCAGCCUUGCGGGUUACUGAUGUGAGGUAGAGCGACUGAUUGGAUGCGAGGGCUUCACCGCCUAUCAAGUCCUGACAAACUCCGAAUGCGCAUCAGUUCUACCGCAGGAGUGAGGGCAUGGGUGCUAAGGUCCGUGCCCGAGAGGAGAAGAAUCCGGACCACCGGCUAAGGUCCCGAAAUGACAGCUAAGUUAAACUAACGAAGUCUGAUUGCUAAGACAGCUAGGAUGUUGGCUUGGAAGCAGCCAUUCAUUUAAAGAGUGCGUAACAGCUCACUAGUCGAGGAGUCGGGCGUGGAUAAUAAUCGGGUAUCAAGUUGUCUACCGAAGCAGUGGGAUCAUUAAUAUGAUCGGUAGGGGAGCAUUCCAGUCAGCGUCGAAGGCGUACCGUGAGGUAUUCUGGAGCGUCUGGAAAAGCAAAUGUAGGUAUAAGUAACGAUAAAGGGGGCGGGAAACCCCCUCGCCGAAAGACUAAGGUUUCCUGAUCAACGCUAAUCGGAUCAGGGUCAGUCGGGUCCUAAGGCUCAGCCGAACGGCGAUGCCGAUGGCAGAAACGGUUAAUAUUCCGUUACUACCUUCAGGAGUGACGUGGAGACGCAGUAGUGACAGUGCCGCCAUCUGACGGAAUAGAUGGUUGAAGGGUGUAGGAGUCGAUCAUGGCAGGCAAAUCCACCAUGAGAUCCGAACCUGACAGUAUGCCGCGUCCUUCGGGACAAGGCAAUAGUGCGCGUAAGCAUGCUGCCGAGAAAAUCCGCUAAACUUAAUCCUGCAGGUACCCGUACCGCAAACGGACACACGUAGUCGGGAUGAAUAUUCUAAGGCGCUUGAGUGAUUCACGGUUAAGGAACUAGGCAAACUGACCCUGUAACUUCGGGAUAAAGGGUCCCUACCCUUUUAUGGGAGGGCGCAGAGAAUCGGUCCAGGCAACUGUUUAACAAAAACACAGGGCUGUGCCAAAUCGAAAGAUCCAGUAUACAGCCUGACACCUGCCCGGUGCUGGAAGGUUAAGAGGAGAUGUCAUCGAUAAGAGAAGCGUUGAAUUGAAGCCCCAGUAAACGGCGGCCGUAACUAUAACGGUCCUAAGGUAGCGAAAUUCCUUGUCGGGUAAGUUC
rnacentral:rRNA from 1 species